rnacentral:rRNA from 1 species
UGGGGAAUAUUGCACAAUGGGGGAAACCCUGAUGCAGCGACGCCGCGUGAAGGAAGAAGUAUUUCGGUAUGUAAAGCUCUAUCAGCAGGGAAGAAAAUGACGGUACCUGACUAAGAAGCCCCGGCUAACUACGUGCCAGCAGCCGCGGUAAUACGUAGGGGGCAAGCGUUAUCCGGAUUUACUGGGUGUAAAGGGAGCGUAGACGGAGAGGCAAGUCUGGAGUGAAAACCCGGGGCUCAACCCCGGGACUGCUUUGGAAACUGUUGAUCUUGAGUACCGGAGAGGUAAGCGGAAUUCCUAGUGUAGCGGUGAAAUGCGUAGAUAUUAGGAGGAACACCAGUGGCGAAGGCGGCUUACUGGACGGUAACUGACGUUGAGGCUCGAAAGCGUGGGGAGCAAACAGGAUUAGAUACC